rnacentral:lncRNA from 1 species
GAACCCACCAAUUCCGGACACACCGGCACAGUGUUGACAGACAGGAAGAUAAGCUUUGCUUCCCCUUCGCUUCCCACCAUGAUCAUAAGUUUCCUGAGGCCUCCCAGUGAUGCUUCCUGUGAAGUCUGGAGAACUGUGAGUCAGUUAAACCUCUUUUCUUCAUAAAUAACCCAGUCUCAGGUAGUUCUUUAUCGCCGUGUGAAAACAGACUAAUACAGAGACUGAAAUUCACAAAAGUAGUGUUGACUGAAAGAAGCCAGACACAAGUGUAUAUCAUGUAUGGUUGUCUAUAUAUAAACUUCAAAAACAAGCAAAAAUAAUUUACAGCAUUACAGGUCAAAAUAGUAGUUACUGUUGGAGUGGUGAGUCAAUAGAGGGGGCAUGAUGAAUUGCUAGUUGGAUUCUGUUUGUUAAUCUUCAUGUGAGUUAAAUGGUUUUCAUUUUGUAAAAGAAAUAUAAAUUUUCAUGAAUAUUAUGUUUGCACAUGCACAUGUGCAUAAAACACAUAACUUUAAUAAAGGAAU